AUGUAUGGCCACACCAACCUGAAUACACCCAAUCUCAUCUGAUCUCAGAAGCUUAGCAGAACCAGGGCUGAUUAGUAUUUGGAUGUGCAAAUACUAAAAUCUUCAGAAAGUGAGUAAAAUAUUUU
rnacentral:rRNA from 1 species